rnacentral:rRNA from 1 species
UACGUAGGGUGCAAGCGUUGUCCGGAAUUAUUGGGCGUAAAGAGCUCGUAGGCGGUCUGUCGCGUCUGCUGUGAAAGACCGGGGCUCAACUCCGGUUCUGCAGUGGGUACGGGCAGACUAGAGUGAUGUAGGGGAGACUGGAAUUCCUGGUGUAGCGGUGAAAUGCGCAGAUAUCAGGAGGAACACCGAUGGCGAAGGCAGGUCUCUGGGCAUUAACUGACGCUGAGGGGCGAAAGCAUGGGGAGCGAACAGG